AGCUGGAUAGCUCAGUUGAUUAGAGCGUGGUGCUGAUAAUGCCAAGAUUGCAGGUUUGAUCCCUGUAUGGAAUGGCUG